rnacentral:rRNA from 1 species
CACGCUGUAAACUAUGGGUACUAGGUUUUGGGAGUGUCGACCCUUUCAGAACCGUAAGCUAACGCGUUAAGUACCUCGCCUGGGAAGUACGGUCGCAAGACUAAAACUCAAAGGAAUUGACGGGAGCCCGCACAAGCGGUGGAGCAUGUGGUUUAAUUCGUCAGUAAGCGAAGAACCUUACCAAGGCUUGACAUCCUCGGAAUUUUCUGGAAACAGAGAAGUGCCGCAAGGAGCCGAGUGACAGGUGC